rnacentral:tRNA from 1 species
GGAAGGUUAUCCUAAUUGGUAAGGAACCGGUCUUGAAAACCGGCGCCGUAAGGCUUCAGAGUUCGAAUCUCUGAUCUUCCGCCA